GCCAAUGAGAAGUUUUCGUUCGGCUUGAUGGACUUUCCCACUCUCCAAUAGGAGCUUAGAAUCGUGCCGUAGCCUCCAAUGCGAUGUCAAUGAUGAGCGCAAUGGGCGGGCUCUGCCUCCCAGGCGGGCGGAGAAGGCCGCGGUUAUCGAUCCCGCUGCUGGAGGGAGGCGGCGGCGAAGCAGCAGAGAAAAUGGCGGCCAUGGCUGCGGAGGCGGCGGCGACUGCAGCGGUGCCGGGCGACGGGGGAGCCGGCGAAGCCGAGCCCGAGAUGGAGCCCACCCCGGGCAGCGAGGCCGGCGCAGACCCCCUCCCCGCUGUCAGCGAGGCCGUGGAGUCGGCCGUGCCCGAUGGGGACGAGGCCGACGGGGGAAAACCCGCUCCGGGGGAGGCCGAGGAGCCGCCGCCGCCCGUAGAGCUCGCCCGGAGCCCGGCUAGGACCCAGGAGCCGGAACCUGCGAGGACGGAGCCGGAGGAGCCGGAGGAACCGGAGCUGGGUUCGCCCCAGUCCGAGCCUAGAGAAGCGCCCAGCCCGGAGCCCGAGGAGGCGCCGCAGCCCUGCCCGCCGCCUGCUGGGCACCCUGAACUUCCCGAGGAGGAGCCGCAGCCCUGCCCGCCGGCUGCUGGGGGCCCCGUGGAGCCGGAGCCCGGGGAGGAGCCGUGCCGGCCGGAGGAGGAGGAGCCGGAUGCUGCUGAUGCUGCCGCUGUAAAGCCGGAGUCCCCGGCUGCCGGCUCCCCGGUGGCCCCGGCCGCGGGGGAGGCGGAGGCUCCGCUACUGCCUGGCUCGGAGGUGCGGGUCACCCUGGACCACAUCAUCGAGGACGCGCUGGUGGUGUCGUUCCGGCUGGGGGAGAAGCUCUUCUCCGGGGUCCUCAUGGACCUCUCCAAAAGGUUUGGACCCCAUGGAAUCCCUGUGACCAUAUUUCCUAAAAGGGAAUACAAGGAUAAACCUGAAGCCAUGCAGCUCCAAAGUAAACCAUUCCAAGAUGAGACACAGGUGAAGUGUGAAACCAGUGGUGCAGUCCCUGAUGACUCUUCUUCUCCCAUUCAGCCAUCAGAACCUAGCCUUGCUAAAAGCCUAUGGACUUCUAAACCACCUCCCCUCUUCCAUGAGGGAGCGCCAUAUCCUCCUCCUUUAUUUAUCAGGGACACGUAUAACCAAUCAAUACCUCAGCCUCCGCCCCGAAAAAUUAAGCGGCCCAAGCGGAAAAUGUACAGGGAGGAACCCACUUCUAUUAUGAAUGCUAUCAAAUUACGACCCAGGCAGGUCUUAUGUGACAAAUGUAAAAACAGUGUUGUUGCAGAAAAAAAAGAAAUUAAAAAAAGUGGCAAUGCAAGUGACUGCUUAAAAUAUGAGGAUCAUAAAAAGCGAAGAAAUGAGAGUGUAACUACUGUGAAUAAAAAACUUAAAACUGACCAUAAAGUAGAUGGAAAAAGCCAAAAUGAAAGCCAGAAAAGAAAUGCUGUGGUCAAAGUUUCAAAUAUUGCCCACAGUAGAAGCAAAGUAGUUAAAGUUUCUGCUCAAGCAAACACUUCGAAAGCUCAGUUAAAUACUAAAAAAGUUCUCCAGAGCAAAAACAUGGAUCAUGCAAAAGCUCGGGAAGUUUUGAAAAUGGCCAAAGAAAAGGCACAAAAGAAACAGAGUGCAACUUCCACUUCCAAAAAUGCACAUUCAAAGGUCCAUUUUACACGACGUCUUCAGAACACCAGCUCAGGUUCCCUUCCACCCCGAUUGCGUUUAAAACCACAAAGGUACCGGAAUGAAGAAAACGACUCAUCUCUCAAGACAGGACUUGAGAAAAUACGGAGUGGCAAGAUGGCAACUAAGCCCCAGUCUCGCUGCUCCUCCACCCGCUCAGCAGGUGAGGCCCCUUCAGAAAAUCAGAGCCCCUCAGAAGGCCCUGAAGAGGCCAGCGGUGAGGUUCAGGACACGAGUGAAGUGCAUGUAACUGUUGAUCAGGAUGAACACCAGACAUUGGGCAAGAGAGGCAGCAAAAGCAAUAUAACAGUUUACAUGACCCUUAAUCAAAAGAAAUCUGACUCUUCCAGUGCAUCAGUGUGUAGUAGUGAUAGCACAGACGAUUUGAAAUCCACCAACUCAGAGUGUAGUUCUACUGAAAGCUUUGAUUUUCCUCCAGGCAGCAUGCAUGCACCUUCCUCCUCUUCCUCCUCCUCCUCUUCAAAGGAAGAGAAAAAGCUCAGUAAUUCCUUGAAAAUGAAAGUCUUUUCCAAAAACGUCUCUAAAUGUGUCACACCAGAUGGCAGGACCAUAUGUGUAGGGGACAUUGUUUGGGCCAAGAUUUAUGGCUUCCCUUGGUGGCCAGCCCGUAUUCUUACUAUAACUGUGAGCCGGAAAGAUAAUGGCCUUUUAGUUCGACAGGAGGCCCGCAUUUCGUGGUUUGGGUCCCCAACAACAUCUUUUCUUGCUCUUUCACAACUGUCCCCCUUUUUAGAAAACUUUCAGUCGCGCUUUAAUAAGAAGAGAAAGGGCCUUUACCGCAAGGCCAUCACAGAGGCAGCUAAGGCUGCUAAGCAGCUGACUCCCGAAGUUCGGGCCCUGCUGACACAGUUUGAAACGUGAACGUGGAAAGUAAGAGCAGAUACCUAGUUUGUCAGGCAGCUCAAAAUGAACUGAUCCCACAUCAUAAAAGCCAUCUGAUGUUCUGAGCCAAAAAUCUGAGCUCAGAGACACUAGGCACCUGCUGUUUUUAUGGAACCUCACCACACUGCCACGAGGAACACCAGCUCAUCAGGAAUGACAAACCUUUGAGACUGAAUUGUCAUAUUUUUCCUCUGAAAUCUUAAACAGAGGGAAGAGAGGGCAGGGUGAAUGUGUUAAACAAACAAAACCACCCCCACUAAUCCUAUUGGGGCACCUGUAUCUAUUGUACAUUUCCUUUGAAAUUUAAAAAGAUGUUAGGAAAUAUUUUAUAAAACUUUUUUGCAAUAAAUGACGCAUGAGAUGGGGAGAGACUAUACGAAGUGUUCAUGCAAGGAACCACUUGAAUUAUUAGUAUGAAGAAUCACUGCGAAUAUUUUUUUUUAAUGUGACGGUCUAAUCAAUAUGUUUGACAGGCCCCAGUGAUGGAGCCAAUUGCCUGGAAAGAUGACUGUAACUUUUGAACUUUUGUUUUGAUUCUUAGCUUUAGCACUGCAUUUUCCAUUCUCCAAGGCUUAGUUAGUAUUUAGUAUGGGUGUUAGCAGAGCUAUAACCUGUGAUCUAAAGCAUGUCUGAAAGCAGCUGUAUUGUAAAAUAUGAACAGUCUUGCUAAAUGAGACCAAUGUUUCCAAGAGAGGUGAUGGGCAGGAUGACAACAGUAACUCCAUGUAUCUCUAAUUUAUGGGAAAAAUCUUCUCCCAUGAAAAUGGUGGUUCUAUUCUUAUGCUGAUGUAACACUUUGGGAAUUGAGGAUUGUUGGAAACGUAUCAAGAAGGGCUACAUCUCUGACAGCAUAGUCAUUUCGAUUUGCUUGUGAUGCUAUAGCAGUAUGGGAUUCAAGAAUGGAUACUGCUAAGAUAGGAUAGCAGUCGUUUGCCAGGUCAUUGUUUCCCCGACCCCCUCCCCCUUCCAGCCCAGAAUAGAGCUCGUGCAGGCAGCUAGUACAGCAAGAGUUUCCAUUAGUGGUUCUAAUGGUAGUUGAUUUAAUAGAAUCAUAGAAAUGUCGGGCUGGAGGGGACCUCGAGCGUCCAGCCCCCUGCUCGAUUUGCAUUGCCUCAACUUCUUUGGAUACCAUUAAAUCAAAAUUAGAAGGCCAAAUCUUUUAUUCUCUUUCUUCCUUUCUCCAAAAGAUGUUUAUUAAUAGUUAUUUCAGCUGAAGCUAGUGAAUGUUGACCAUACUGCUAGAAUAUUGGCUUGUUAAUUUAUUUGCCACUGAUUGUUUUAAUAUUGUGUGCACGUUUUCUUGACAAUAUGGUUUCCUGUGCUAUUCUUAAUGAUAGAAGGGGAUUCACUGGAUGCCUGACUUGGGAGAGUAAAUAUUUAUUUUGGAAAAUGAAAAUGUGCACAUAAUCUAAAGAUAUAAUAAAGUACAAGCUCCUCUUUCGAUGGAAAUGCAAAGGCUUGUACUAAACUCUUUUCCUAUUUACAAAUAUUCUGAUCUUAUCAGGGAAUGUAAAAUAUCUUUCUACAGGUUAUCUGCAAAGAGAGCACCUUUUCCAAAAGUCUCUGGUUUCCAAAGGCACAAAUAUGGUUUCAUAACCUGUGUGCAUGGAUCAUGAAUUAAGUAACCUUUGAUUUCAAAUCAUGGUGACCAUAGAUGUAUAUUUUUUCCUCGCUGCUUGGUAUUUGGUAACAAAUCCAUAUUUUUAGCAGAGCAGGGGAAACAAUAAUCCACACCCAGGAAAGAUAUAUUGGUGGUACAUAUAGUCAAAGGCAGUUCGAUAUUAGAUAGUUAGUAGUUACUUUAGUUUGAUUAGUGGUAACUUCAUAAUUUAUUUAUAAAACCAGAAACCGAAACCAUAGCACCUAUUUCUUUAAAAAACUAUUUUAGCUGCACAUUGCUGUUGUACAGUAGAUUCAAAUUGUGCUACUUUUCAUCAUAAACUGCAGAUCUUUUUUUUUUUUUAAUAGAGAAUAGUAAUUAUUGUUCUGCAGUACUCUUCCUUUCUAAUGUAGUCAAAGCAGAGGGUCAGCAGUCUGGUCCUGCUCCACUGCCCGAAAUAUGACCAAGAUUUAUCAUAAAUUAAAGCAUCUCACUCUUAGGUUAAAUCUGCACCAUGAGCUAGGUGUGUGAGGCCCAGUUUCUGUACACAUACAUGUGCUAAUUCUCAUGGAGCUAGCAUGAGUAUAAAUAGCAGUGUAGCCGCAGUAGCCUGGGUACCAGCAGCAGAGCCAUAGCUUAGUGGGGCCUAGAAUGUACCCGUCAGGCUCAAGCAGGUUUGUAUUCAGCAGAGCUAAGCCAUGCCACCACUGCAGCUACAUGUGCUACCGCAGCUACGCUACUGUUUACACUCACGGUAGCUUAGGGACACCUCAUGCAAGAAUGCGUAGGCAAGUUGGGAUCACACCCCUAGGUGGUAGUGUAGACGUAACCUUAGAGAGAGAGGGGGACAGGGUGCAGUGAGUUAAUGUGCUAGCCUUUUACCUCUGGAGACCAAACCCUGAUUGUAUUGCAAGUAGAUGGGGGGUCUCAUCCCCAGUGGGGGAGUCACUUUUAUCCACGUGAAAACAAAAAACAAAACCACACCAGACAACAUGGCACAAAACAGUUUCUGCUCAGGAAAAAGGCCCAGGACUGUAAUAGCAGGGUUAUUCCAUGCUGGGAUUGAAAUGAUUGACGUGUGUGGAAGCCAGUAGUGCCUGCCUAUAUGACAUCUGACUCUUAUGUGCUCUUACUGCCUCUCCUGCAAGAGCACUAGCACACAUCAGUUGGAGUAUACAGAACAUUAUAGUUGGAGAGAAAUGCAGGUCUCUGCAUUGGAGAAUAUGGGUAAAUUAAGCAAAUAGAAAGCUUAAAAAAUAGACAAGGUAGCAAACUGUAUUUGCUCAUAAAAAUGAGUUUAUUUUCAUGGGAAGUAGUGCAGCCAUUUUGUUUGAAACCAGAUUUUCAUUUUGAAGUGAAACUGUCAGGGAUAUUUUAAUGACUGAGAAGUACAGUAAUGUAUUGCUUUUCACUUUUUGGCUUUAGUUGCUUAAUAUUUAAGCUUUGCUCCAUGCUACCUUUUUGUCUGUAUAUUGAAUGGUCACUAUGCCUCCUUCAUUUUGUAGACUUGAAUGAGGGGGUGGAAAACGAUUCACUUUUAAGGUUUGCUCAAAGGUAGAUGUUAAAGAAUGUUGUGUAACAUUUAUUCAAAUAAAGCCUUGAUUUUUUUUUCAGCACUU